rnacentral:rRNA from 1 species
UGGGAAUAUUGGACAAUGGGCGCAAGCCUGAUCCAGCAAUGCCGCGUGAGUGAUGAAGGCCUUAGGGUUGUAAAGCUCUUUCGCCCGCGACGAUGAUGACGGUAGCGGGAGAAGAAGCCCCGGCUAACUUCGUGCCAGCAGCCGCGGUAAUACGAAGGGGGCUAGCGUUGUUCGGAAUUACUGGGCGUAAAGGGCGCGCAGGCGGCCCUCCAAGUCAGGGUGUGAAAGCCCCGGGCUCAACCCGGGAAUUGCACUUGAGACUGGAGGGCUUGAGUUCGGGAGAGGAGAGUGGAAUUCCCAGUGUAGAGGUGAAAUUCGUAGAUAUUGGGAAGAACACCGGUGGCGAAGGCGGCUCUCUGGACCGACACUGACGCUGAGGCGCGAAAGCGUGGGGAGCAAACAGGAUUAGAUACCCUGGUAGUCCACGCCGUAAACGAUGUGUGCUAGACGUUGGGGGACCUAGUCUCUCGGUGUCGCAGCUAACGCGUUAAGCACACCGCCUGGGGAGUACGGCCGCAA